rnacentral:rRNA from 1 species
CCCUUAGAUGUUCUGGGCAGCACGCGCGCUACAAUGGUCUUCGCAAACGGAUGCAUUCUCGAAGGAGAAUGCCAAUCUUGGAAUCUAUGCCUUGGUCGGGACAGUGGCUUGCAAUUUUUCGACUCGAACCAGGAAUUCCUUGUAAUCGUGAUUCAUCACAUCACGAUGAAUACGUCCCUGCCCUUUGUACACACCGCCCGUCGCUCCUACCGAUCGAAGAGUUAGGUGAAUUGUUUUGAUCGAUAAGAUUUGACUAUGGUCAACUCUCGUUGUGAAAUUCUGUGAAUCUGACUGUUUAGAGGAAGGAAAAGUCGUAACA